GGUAGAAUGGCUGAGAUAUUAGGUAAUAGAUUGUAAAUUUAUUUAGGGGGAUUUUCCUCUUCUACCA
rnacentral:tRNA from 1 species